CCACGAGGCAGUAGACCACCCGUGAGGCCGCCUCUGCCUCGGCGAGGAGGGAGGAUAUAGCCUCCAUGCUCUCACACAGCUCGGAAAGGUGACGAAUAAUAUGAAGAAAUAAAUGAGGAGAUCUUUGAAGACCUCAUCUAAUAAUUAAUGCGGUGAAUUAGAAAGCGAUCGCGAGUGUAUCCUAUUUACUCUCUGUACUUAUCGCAAUAAAGGGGAAUAAAAAGUAAAUCUCAUGUUUUGUGAUAAUUGUAAGACAGAUCGGACUGCGGAUAUAAGAGGGAGGUACUCCAUGUCUCUAAUAACGAAGAAAUAGAACAUCUUAUCAUCUCUUAAGAAUA